rnacentral:rRNA from 1 species
GAUGAACGCUGGCGGCGUGCUUAACACAUGCAAGUCGAACGGAAAGGCCAGUGUUUUCUCUGGUACUCGAGUGGCGAACGGGUGAGUAACACGUGGGUGAUCUGCCCUUUACUUUGGGAUAAGUUUGGGAAACUGGGGCUAAUACCGGAUAGGACAACUUGUUGGAUAGUGUUGUGGGAAGCUUUUGGGGUAUGGGGUGAGGUCGCGGCCUAUCAGCUUGUUUGUGGGGUAAUGGCAUACCAAAGCGUCGAGGGGUGGGCGGCCUGAGAGGGUGUACGGCGACAUUGGGACUGCGAUACGGAGCAGAAGCCUAUGGGAGGCAGUAGUCGAGAAUAUUGCAGAAUGAGCGCAAGCCUGAUGCAGAGACGCUGCGUGGGGGAUGAAGGGUUUGGGGUUGUAAACGCUUUUGGGUAGGGAAGAAGCAUUUUUGUGCGGGUACCAGGCGAAGAAGCACCGGCUAACUAGGU